GCUUUCGGACUCCACUCUUCCUACUCUGGCUUGCUAAUCAAUUUUACCUGGUUUGAAAUGCUCACCCUUAUAUACAGGCAAUUAUGUGGAUUAGAAAUUAAGGAUGAAACAUCUUCCCGAAAGGUCACUGUUAAAAUUUACCCAUCAUCUUGGUGCUCCUAGCUUUCUACCACCAACACAGAGUAGCUGACACUUCAAUCCAUUGCAGGCAGCUUGGAUUGCAAUGAGGACAAUGCAAUGCAUUUGGGCUGGAAACACUGGACAGAAUUUCACUGUAUGAAUGCACUCUAGUUCAGUUAUGUGGUGGUUAAGAGCAUAGGCUCUGAAGACUGCUAGGGUUCAAAUCCCAGGUCUUUCAACAGUAACUGGUUGUGAAAACAUGGGCAAGUGAGUAAACCUUUCUGUGCUUUGGUUUCCUCACUGGUAAAAUGUGGAUAAAAGCAAUUCCUUCACAGGGUUGUUUGGAGGAGAAAAUGACUUUAUGUAUGUGAAGCACUUAGAAUAAUCUCUUAGGGUUAUUAUUUAACCAACAUUUUUGUUGAAUAUUUAGUUCAUUUCCAGGUUUUCACUCUUACAAAUAUACUGUAAUUAACAAA
rnacentral:sRNA from 1 species